AACACUCAUUAUUUAACAACAUAUGAAACUGUCAAAAUAAUGGGUGCUUUAAUUUUUCUGAUAAUGAGUGUUUUUUGCUCAUUUCUAAGCUCCGAGAGACUACACAUUAAUGGGUGAAAAAUUCCUUGGUCUUCCUCUAUCAAAGAUCAACCCUUCUUCGGAGAUAAAAAUUGAAUAAGUAAAAGUAACGCUAAACAGCUGCUGCUAAAUAAACUGUUACGAAUGAAUCUACGCAGUCCUGGCCACAGUAUUUUCGGAAGACGCCGAAUAGCCGUUUUUUACCAACAUCCGAAAUCUGUCAGCACUUCGCAGUUUCGGAGAUGGUGGUACAUCCUCAACAGUCAAAAGCUGGUAGUGGCUUUGUUUGGCGUUCCUAGUUCUUUGCUUUGUGCAACUAUAGGAAGCAAUUUCGCCUGUUGCAUAUGAGAACCACAAUGGGCACCGCAUCUCGCAACAUCGAGCCGUUCCGGGACAGGAGAAAGGAGAAACGGAAGUAGGAG